GUUCACUGUUUAGACUUAAUGCAUUUCUGACCCUGCAAAGGCUUGAUCCUCACCUAACAUUUGCAAGUACAUUAAUCUUAUUGUAGUCCUCAUUCAAUCUUUGUAAAAGACUAUUGAUAAAUUUGAAUUGAAAUUAUAUCAUCUUAAAGUGACCUAAACCCUAAUAAUAGAUUAGGGUUUUGAUUAGUAUUUAAGUGCGAGCAGCAGUGGAGGAAGGACGAACUCGGAAGACUGCAGAUAAGAUAGAUUUGAAGUAAGACUUUAAAUUCUGACAAAGAGGUGGAGAGGAAUAGAUCUUCAGGAAUGGAGUUUCAAAGCAGGAGACCGCGAUGUUUAAAGACAAGAAAUCAAUGAUGAAGCAAAGGGAACAAUAAUGAUCAGAGGAGUAAAAUAUUCAGAAUUUAAGUGCCCAACUGGAUGGACAG